GGGGAAUUUUGGACAAUGGGCGAAAGCCUGAUCCAGCCAUGCCGCGUGAGUGAAGAAGGCCUUCGGGUUGUAAAGCUCUUUCAGCCGGAAAGAAAGCGCGUGGGUGAAUAACCUGUGUGGAUGACGGUACCGGAAGAAGAAGCACCGGCUAACUACGUGCCAGCAGCCGCGGUAAUACGUAGGGUGCGAGCGUUAAUCGGAAUUACUGGGCGUAAAGCGUGCGCAGGCGGUUUUGUAAGACAGAUGUGAAAUCCCCGGGCUUAGCCUGGGAACUGCAUUUGUGACUGCAAGGCUAGAGUACGGCAGAGGGGGGUAGAAUUCCACGUGUAGCAGUGAAAUGCGUAGAUAUGUGGAGGAAUACCGAUGGCGAAGGCAGCCCCCUGGGUCGAUACUGACGCUCAUGCACGAAAGCGUGGGGAGCAAAC
rnacentral:rRNA from 1 species